UGGAGAGGAAGAAACGGUUUCCGGAGCCUUUCAAGGUUUCUGAGGAAGGUCCUCUCUUCCAGGCAAAGCGAUAUGGCGAAAGCCAUUAGGAGAGAUCCUAGCUCUGAGAAUAGAAACGUAAAGCGUACUCGAUAACGAUGAUGUGUGGCUCCUUCCCGGAGCUCCAUGGAGGUGCGAGGUGAAGCGUUGAAACGACUCAUCAUCGUGGAAGCAAGCUCAAGUUGGCUUCGAUGACCAUUGCCACGAGAAGCCGGGUUGAGUGCGUAGAUUGAUACCGUGAGAGGAGUACACCGGUGGUGUUCCUCGACACAGAAAGAGGACUAUUUUCCUCUCCA
rnacentral:RNase_P_RNA from 2 species